rnacentral:rRNA from 1 species
GAUGAACGCUGGCGGCGUGCCUAAUACAUGCAAGUCGAGCGAACGGACGAGAAGCUUGCUUCUCUGAUGUUAGCGGCGGACGGGUGAGUAACACGUGGAUAACCUACCUAUAAGACUGGGAUAACUUCGGGAAACCGGAGCUAAUACCGGAUAAUAUUUUGAACCGCAUGGUUCAAAAGUGAAAGACGGUCUUGCUGUCACUUAUAGAUGGAUCCGCGCUGCAUUAGCUAGUUGGUAAGGUAACGGCUUACCAAGGCAACGAUGCAUAGCCGACCUGAGAGGGUGAUGGGCCACACAGGAACUGAGACACGGUCCAGACUCCUACGGGGGGCAGCAGUAGGGAAUCUUCCGCAAUGGGCGAAAGCCUGACGGAGCAACGCCGCGGGAGUGAUGAAGGUCUUCGGAUCGGAAAACUCUGUUAUUAGGGAAGAAAAUAUGUGUAAGUAACUGGGCACAUCUUGACGGUACCAAAUCAGAAAGCCACGGCUAACUACGU